rnacentral:rRNA from 1 species
UUUUCUGAGAGUUUGAUCCUGGCUCAGGAUUAACGCUGGCGGCAUGCCUAAUACAUGCAAGUCGAUCGGAUGUAGCUA